AGGGGGAGAAGGAAGAAGGCAGGGAGAGCCUUUUUUCCCUAGGAAACAACUCCAAGUCACUGUUUAUGUUAGCGAAUCGUUUCCAGCAUUAAGGUGGCUACUAGCUUUCCAUAUAAGACACUGUUUGGCUUGGAAAGGUGGUUUGGCUUCACAAUUGCCAGAGAUAUUCAGACAGCCAAGAAGACUGUUUCUCCAAACUUUGAAGUAAAGUGGUUAAAGUUGGUUUUGAGCAUCCCCCAUUUGAACAGUUGGACUUCAUACAAAAUCUCACAGAACAUCUAUCUGCACCAUUAAAUGCUUAAAUGUGUUUUCCAGACUGGCCCUAUGUCAACAAAUAGGUUGUGUUGCAAAAGGAUUUUAAGCCAUUUCUUCAGAGUGAAACCAGCCAUGAGAAUUCUGGCACAUUCCUAAAUUUGUUCCAUUGGAUUCUUUGUGUAACUGUAAGUCUAGUUUUAACAGGUGCUGUUGAAGAUUGUGCUGUUUUAUGAGGAACAUUUUAGUCAGCUCCACUGAAAAUUCAUGACUCACCAAGGGUCUGUCAAUCUUUUAUUAUGCUUUGCUGUGUGACGGAAUGGAAACCAACCUCUUUAUCGGCAAUCCAACAAAAAUGUGUCAUCAUCCCAGCUGCACCAGAACUUUAUUAGUAAAUGUCUGUAAAUAUCUGAUGGUGUAUGCAAGGAGUUUGGUUCUAUUCCCACUGAAGUCAAUGGGAGUUUUGCUACUGACUACAACAAAGUAUCUUAUCCUUGCAUGAACUUAAUGAAUGUGUCAUUUUCAUGAAUAGCAUACACCAUGUUUUAUUAUGAUUAUUUGGUUUACUAAUAUUUGAUUAUUGGUUACUUAAAACUUAAUGUGUUUGACAGUGGGAUACACUGUCUCCCGUGAACUAUGUACUUUGUGCAGCUCAGUAAUGGAAAUAAGAUAGAUAUUGGCAUAUUAGGGACAACUAAGAAUCCAUCUGCCGAAGAUGAUUCCUCAGCUAACUCCUGUAACUUGCAAACAUAACGCCCAGGGCAAGAUGAUAUGCAGCCAAAAUCCAGGAGGUUCCACUGAUUUUUAGCUUUUAAAUGGCCCUGAAAAGCCUUUGCAGGAACAGAGAGCAGUGCUUCAUGGUCUGUACAUCGCAAAUCAGCACUGCAGAGACAGAAAUCGGGAAACUAUGAAGUUAUCUGUCUUUGGCUGAGUUGUUGGCUUCUGAGCUUGAUCACCAAUAUAUUAAUA